rnacentral:rRNA from 1 species
CCCUUAGAUGUCCUGGGCUGCACGCGCGCUACACUGGAAGUUACGGAUUGAGAUACUACCUUGUCCGAAAUGGUCCGGGUAAUCACCUAAAAGCUUGUCAUAAUUGGAAUGGAUUAUUGUAACUAGUAAUCCUGAACGAGGAAUUCCUAGUAAGUCCCAGUCAACAGCUGGUGCUGAUUACGUCCCUGCCCUUUGUACACACCGCCCGUCGCUACUACUGAUUGGACGUUUAAGCAAGAUUUUUAAACACUGACAGUGUGUAGUUCACGCUAUACUACAGUGAGAAGAAGAAGAUCGAGCUUACUUGUCUAGAGGAAGUAAAAGUCGUAACA